UGAGAAGGAUUACUUACCCUUACUUACCCUAUCCUAGGUAUUCCUUGAAGAGGUGGGGUUUCAGGUGUCUCCGGAAGGUGGUGAUUGACUCCGCUGUCCUGGCGUCGUGAGGGAGUAACCGCCCAUAAACAAAGAUCCUGCAAAAGUAACUUCUAAAGGAUGUUUAGAAAAUAACAUGCCUUGUGUCUGGGGUUUUACUGAGUAGUAGUAGUAUGUGAUGGUAGUGAGGAACAGUACAAUCCCCAUAGCUGUGUGUUAGUAGUGUUAAUAGUAGUGAACGGACUGAAAGGGAACUUAACAUUCACAUCAUCUCCUGCUGCCUAUUGUUGCCUCUGACCCAACGUGUCUGUCUGUCUGUCUGUCAGAGGCCCCAUCAGGGGGCAGGUCACCAGGCAGAACCAGUGAGCUAGAGAGGCCCCACCAGGGGGCAAGUCACCAGGCAGAACCAGUGAGCUAGAGAGGCCCCACCAGGGGGCAGGUCACCAGGCAGAACCAGUGAGCUAGAGAGGCCCCAUCAGGGGGCAGGUCACCAGGCAGAACCAGUGAGCUAGAGAGGCCCCACCAGGGGGCAGGACACCAGGCAGAACCAGUGAGCUAGAGAGGCCCCACCAGGGGGCAGGUCACCAGGCAGAACCAGUGAGCUAGAGAGGCCCCACCAGGGGGCAGGUCACCAGGCAGAACCAGUGAGCUAGAGAGGCCCCACCAGGGGGCAGGUCACCAGGCAGAACCAGUGAGCUAGAGAGGCCCCAUCAGGGGGCAGGUCACCAGGCAGAACCAGUGAGCUAGAGAGGCCCCACCAGGGGGCAGGUCACCAGGCAGAACCAGUGAGCUAGAGAGGCCCCACCAGGGGGCAGGUCACCAGGCAGAACCAGUGAGCUAGAGAGGCCCCAUCAGGGGGCAGGUCACCAGGCAGAACCAGUGAGCUAGAGAGGCCCCACCAGGGGGCAGGUCACCAGGCAGAACCAGUGAGCUAGAGAGGCCCCAUCAGGGGGCAGGUCACCAGGCAGAACCAGUGAGCUAGAGAGGCCCCAUCAGGGGGCAGGUCACCAGGCAGAACCAGUGAGCUAGAGAGGCCCCAUCAGGGGGCAGGUCACCAGGCAGAACCAGUGAGCUAGAGAGGCCCCAUCAGGGGGCAAGUCACCAGGCAGAAUCAGUGAGCUAGAGAGGCCCCACCAGGGGGCAGGUCACCAGGCAGAACCCGUGAGCUAGAGAGGCCCCAUCAGGGGGCAGGUCACCAGGCAGAACCAGUGAGCUAGAGAGGCCCCACCAGGGGGCAGGUCACCAGGCAGAACCAGUGAGCUAGAGAGGCCCCACCAGGGGGCAGGUCACCAGGCAGAACCAGUGAGCUAGAGAGGCCCCACCAGGGGGCAGGUCACCAGGCAGAACCAGUGAGCUAGAGAGGCCCCAUCAGGGGGCAGGUCACCAGGCAGAACCAGUGAGCUAGAGAGGCCCCACCAGGGGGCAAGUCACCAGGCAGAACCAGUGAGCUAGAGAGGCCCCACCAGGGGGCAGGUCACCAGGCAGAACCAGUGAGCUAGAGAGGCCCCAUCAGGGGGCAGGUCACCAGGCAGAACCAGUGAGCUAAGUAUCUAAUAAUAUAUUUUGGACAUAGUGUAUAUCCAGUUCAUAAGAAACACUUACUUGAAACAGGAAUUGCAUUUUUGACUCUUACUUUCAAUGAGCUGCAACUUUACUUCCCUUAUGAUCUAGAGACCAUGGUGCAAAGUCUCAGUCCUCAAAGCAGACUACUCCUUUAACCUAAUCACACUGUCGUUCUGAUCCUAACCAUACUGUUCUGGUUCUACUAUUUUAACCUAGUCACACUGUCGUUCUGAUCCUAACCAUACUGUUCUGGUUCUACUCCUUUAACCUAAUCACACUGUCGUUCUGAUCGUAACUAUCUAACUAUUCUUAUCACCUUGUCCUUUGCAGGCCAGUUCAGCUUGGCUCAGAUCGACUCCGUAGUGUGAAAAUAACUGUUUUUUUAUCCUUGCCUUGUUACCAGAGAUUGAUUUGUCGCUGGGAAACGAGGUGUGUGCACACGUCAGCCAAUCAUUACUGUUACUGUAUUUCUCAGUGUUGAGUUUACCCUGGUCAACUGUUACUGUAUUUCUCAGUGUUGAGUUUACCCUGGUCAACUGUUACUGUAUUUCUCAGUGUUGAGUUUACCCUGGUCAACUGGCUAACUCAUUGAUCCUGCCUGGUGAGUUUACCCUGGUCAACUGUUACUGUAUUUCUCAGUGUUGAGUUUACCCUGGUCAACUGGCUAACUCAUUGAUCCUGCCUGGUGAGUUUACCCUGGUCAACUGUUACUGUAUUUCUCAGUGUUGAGUUUACCCUGGUCAACUGGCUAACUCAUUGAUCCUGCCUGGUGAGUUUACCUUGGUCAACUGUUACUGUAUUUCUCAGUGUUGAGUUUACCCUGGUCAACUGUUACUGUAUUUCUCAGUGUUGAGUUUACCCUGGUCAACUGGCUAACUCAUUGAUCCUGUCUGGUGAGUUUACCCUGGUCAACUGUUACUGUAUUUCUCAGUGUUGAGUUUACCCUGGUCAACUGGCUAACUCAUUGAUCCUGCCUGGUGAGUUUACCCUGGUCAACUGUUACUGUAUUUCUCAGUGUUGAGUUUACCCUGGUCAACUGGCUAACUCAUUGAUCCUGUCUGGUGAGUUUACCCUGGUCAACUGUUACUGUAUUUCUCAGUGUUGAGUUUACCCUGGUCAACUGGCUAACUCAUUGAUCCUGUCUGGUGAGUUUACCCUGGUCAACUGUUACAACUGGGAUGUAGACUUCACAAUGAUUGUACAAACAUCAUCAUGGCAACACAGCGUGACUUAGGCCUUAUUAGUAACUGUAAUGAAAUAACAAGUGGAAUGAUUUAAUACCAGACAUGAACCCAGUUACAGUCCACUUCCACUACUUUUCCAUUUAAAUCGUGUUUGAAAUUACUAUUUGAAAAAAAAUACAAAUUCUAAUUCAUAUGACAAAGGGAAUCCAAAAGUAGUGACAUUUCCAAAACGUGUUUACGACCCUGUUAUUACAUGGUAAUUACACAGCGUAUUUCAUUGGUAGUUAAUAUGGUUUAACAAGGCGAAGCCUAUGGCGUCAAGUGUGGCCAGAAACCUUACUGUACUAGAAGGAUUGGUACACUUGCAGUCCCGCAGUCAAACACACUCCAGGUCAGGGGUGGGCAACUCCAUUCCUCCAGCGCCUGAUUGGUGUCACACUUUUUCUCCAUCCCCAGCUAAAACACCUGACUCCAAUAUCAUGAUCUUCAGUUUAGAAUGUAAUUAGUUUAAUCAGCCGUGUUUGCUAGGUGUGGGUGAAAAGUGUGACAC